rnacentral:rRNA from 1 species
ACGCACGCUGGCGGCAGGCCUAACACAUGCAAGUCGAGCGAGGACUUCGGUCCUAGCGGCGGACGGGUGAGUAACGCGUGGGAACGUGCCCUUUGCUUUGGAAUAGCCCUGGGAAACUGGGAGUAAUACCGGAUGAGCCCUUUGGGGGAAAGAUUUAUCGGCGAAGGAUCGGCCCGCGUUGGAUUAGGUAGUUGGUGGGGUAAUGGCCUACCAAGCCGACGAUCCAUAGCUGGUUUGAGAGGAUGAUCAGCCACACUGGGACUGAGACACGGCCCAGACUCCUACGGGAGGCAGCAGUGGGGAAUCUUAGACAAUGGGGGAAACCCUGAUCUAGCCAUGCCGCGUGAGCGAUGAAGGCCUUAGGGUUGUAAAGCUCUUUCAGCUGGGAAGAUAAUGACGGUACCAGCAGAAGAAGCCCCGGCUAACUCCGUG